rnacentral:lncRNA from 1 species
UUUUUUUUUUUUUUUUUUUAAAGAUUCAUCUAAUUUGGUGUAGUGGCAAGGAUCUUUAAAAAAUGGCAAUAUCCUGUAAAGGAGAUUUUGCCCCUGGAACAUUGUGUUGUGUCCUAUGGACUAAUGAGUUGGCCCGACGAGGGGUGGAAGGGAGAUGUGGAGGAAGGAAGGUUUGUCUGGACCGGUGAUGAGUUCCACAGGGUAUCUGAACCAGGAUAUUGUGAGAACUGUUUACUGUUGUUUUUAAUUUCCUACCACAUUGAUUUGAAGAUUUGCCUAUCAGUGUGGCCCUGGCUGAUAAGGAGGGCGUCACAAGUGGUAGAAGAUGCUGGCGUCAUUAUCUUCCAUCAGAUGUCUUUAGACAAGGGCAGAUUCACUUAGUGCAAGGUCCAGCAGAGCAGCAGUCAAAGCAGACAGAGAUGAGCUCUGGGUGCUGGUGAAGGUCUCUCUUCCCCGAGCUCCUUGGUUAAGGAAGAUGGAUGCCUUCAGUAAAGGGAGAGUUUGGUCCCUGGAGUAUUGUGUUGUGUCCUAUGGAAUAAUGAUUUAACACGAGAGGAGAGAUGGAGGAAGGCUUUUCUGGAUCAGUGAGGAGAACUUGGGGGAUCUGAACUAAGAUAUUGUAACUAAACCCAUGUAUGUCUCUGAGGUCUUUUACAACUCUCCCUUCUUUAGGGAACACUUUGUGGGGCUGUGUCCUAGGCUGAUAGACAUGUGGAUACAUUGGUUUCUUUAUUUCUAUACUAGCAGUGAGGUGGGUGGUGGCAGAGCCCAACAAGCUACAGUCAUUCCCAGCUAGGGUUUUACUUUUCUAAUGAAAUUAGCCUGUGGAUCUUUAAAAAGUAUGAAUAAAAAAAGAGGACAAAAUGGUCAAUUAUUACAAAGGAGUAUAAUGAGACAAAGGUUGUUGUUAAAUCUACUCAACAGUUGGGGCUUAAGAACCAUUUUGUUUAGGGGUACAUGGUCAUUAAGUGUUUGUCCUAUGUUGGUAACUGGUCUCCCAUAGUUGUUCCUAGUUCACUUCAACCCCACGAUCCUAAGCACACCUGUACCUGCCCUGGAAUCCCUCAGCCAUGUUUGUCCCACAGAGCAUCACUAUCAAACAGUUCACUGUGGACUCCUCGUAGCAGAAGUACAGUAGGGGACAGCAAGUGUCAGCUCCAUCAGGACCCCUGAUUUAAUUAUUUACUGUGGAACCAUUGUCCUGAGUCAGGAGGAUAGAUGAGGAAAGAAUGAGAGCGUGGCUGGCAUCGCUUCAUGAUUACAUUCUGGGAAAGAUCUUGCCUGUUAACCUCUAGAGAAGGAGGGACGAUACAGACAAUGGACUCACAAUUGCUGAUGUAUAGGUUCUAAUGUUUUCUAUUGUGGACACGGGACACCCAGACUGAGAACCAAUGGCUCCAGUCUGAUUUAAACAUGGGUCCGUGCUCACACACUCAAUACCUACCCUCUGUGCUCACAAGUCCUGUGUGAGUAAGACUCCAAAUUAUUCUGUCUUGUUUUACUCAAUGGUAUGCUCUACCUUAUUAUAGAGUAUACCAUGUAUUGAGACAAGAAUGCCAGUCAUUCUGAGAAACAAAAUGCAACCAUUAGUUGUCAUUUUAAUUAGUGACGAAUAGUUGUGUCAAUCAUCAAACAUGCUUGUAUAAUUGGAUGAGAAGAGGUGUAACACGGGCCAAUGAUGACGAGGUUUCGGGAUUAUAAGUCACGGACGAUGACUACGUCACUAGAGGUCUGAGGUCCAUAGCAGAAGAUGCCUCAUGUGACCCUCUCAUGCAGGGGUUGCAUGUCAGGCAUGUGCAUACAGUAGAUAUUAGCCAUGCACUCUCACCAUUUCAUAGUAGAUCACAGAAUCAAGAUACAAAUCUCCAUGCACGGAAAGGAUUUAAGGCAUUGAUCAAUCCUGAACAUAAAUAUUUGGCCAUCAAUGAUAUUUACGCACACAC